rnacentral:rRNA from 1 species
GACGAACCGAGCGAACGUUAUUCGGAAUCACUGGGCUUAAAGGGCGCGUAGGCGGGCCGGCGAGUCCGGGGUGAAAGCCCCCAGCCCAACUGGGGAAGUGCCUCGGAUACUGCCGGCCUCGAGGGAGGUAGGGGCGUGCGGAACUUCCGGUGGAGCGGUGAAAUGCGGUAGAUAUCGGAAGGAACACCGGUGGCGAAAAGCGGCGCGCUGGACCGUCUUCUGACGCUGAGGCGCGAAAGCCAGGGGAGCGAACGG